rnacentral:pre_miRNA from 12 species
AGUAAGAAAUAGCAUACAGGAAAAUGACCUAUGAAUUAACAGAAAGUAUACUUUAAGUUUGUCAUUUCCAUAGGCCAAUGUAUAUCUGUGCUACUUC